rnacentral:rRNA from 1 species
GACGUAGGGCGCGAGCGUUGCCCGGAUUUAUUGGGCGUAAAGAGCUCGUAGGCGGCUUGUCGCGUCGUCCGUGAAAACCCACAGCUCAACUGUGGGCUUGCGGUCGAUACGGGCAGGCUAGAGUUCGGUAGGGGAGACUGGAAUUCUCGGUGUAGCAGUGAAAUGCGUAGAUAUCGAGAGGAACACCAGUGGCGAAGGCGAGUCCCUGGACAACACCUGACACUGAGGCACGAAAGCUAGGGGAGCAAACAGG